rnacentral:rRNA from 1 species
UACGAAGGGGGCUAGCGUUGCUCGGAAUCACUGGGCGUAAAGGGUGCGUAGGCGGGUCUUUAAGUCAGGGGUGAAAUCCUGGAGCUCAACUCCAGAACUGCCUUUGAUACUGAAGAUCUUGAGUUCGGGAGAGGUGAGUGGAACUGCGAGUGUAGAGGUGAAAUUCGUAGAUAUUCGCAAGAACACCAGUGGCGAAGGCGGCUCACUGGCCCGAUUCUGACGCUGAGGCACGAAAGCGUGGGGAGCAAACAGG